rnacentral:rRNA from 1 species
GACGAACGCUGGCGGCGUGCUUAACACAUGCAAGUCGAACGGAAAGGCCUCUUUCGGGGGGUACUCGAGUGGCGAACGGGUGAGUAACACGUGAGUAACCUGCCCUUGACUUUGGGAUAACUUCAGGAAACUGGGGCUAAUACCGGAUAGGAGCUCCUGCUGCAUGGUGGGGGUUGGAAAGUUUCGGCGGUUGGGGAUGGACUCGCGGCUUAUCAGCUUGUUGGUGGGGUAGUGGCUUACCAAGGCUUUGACGGGUAGCCGGCCUGAGAGGGUGACCGGCCACAAUGGGACUGAGAUACGGCCCAGACUCCUACGGGAGGCAGCAGUGGGGAAGAUUGCACAAUGGGUGGAAGCCUGAUGCAGCAACGCCGUGUGCGGGAUGACGGCCUUCGGGUUGUAAACCGCUUUCGCUCAUGACGAAGCUUUGUGUGACGGUAGUGGGUAAAGAAGCACCGGCUAACUACGUG